GCUCAGAACGAACGCUGGCGGCAUGCCUAACACAUGCAAGUCGAACGAAGUGCCUUUGGGUGCUUAGUGGCGCACGGGUGCGUAACGCGUGGGAAUCUGCCCUUAGGUUCGGAAUAACAGCUGGAAACGGCUGCUAAUACCGGAUGAUGACGAAAGUCCAAAGAUUUAUCGCCUGAGGAUGAGCCCGCGUUGGAUUAGGUAGUUGGUGGGGUAAAGGCCUACCAAGCCGACGAUCCAUAGCUGGUCUGAGAGGAUGAUCAGCCACACUGGGACUGAGACACGGCCCAGACUCCUACGGGAGGCAGCAGUGGGGAAUAUUGGACAAUGGGCGAAAGCCUGAUCCAGCAAUGCCGCGUGAGUGAUGAAGGCCCUAGGGUUGUAAAGCUCUUUUACCCGGGAAGAUAA
rnacentral:rRNA from 1 species